AAUUAUUUCCUAAAAUGUUACAAUAGACUGCUUGUAGAAAAAAAAAUUAAAGACUAGCAACGAUUAUUCAGUACAAGUGUGCUUUAUAGAUAAGAUGUUUUAUCCUUAUAUUAAACUGCUCUUCACCAGUGUGGUUAUGUGUCAGAGACAUUUUCCCUUGGCAUUAAAUUAUAUUCUAGGAUGGUAAUCUCUGUAUUAGUAAAGCAAACUAAGAGACUGAUGUUAAGGUGGAAUAUUUUAUUUUACCGUUAGGUAAGUUUGUCAGUACAUUUACUACGAAAUUGAUGAAUGGUGCAGAUCAGUGCAUUUUGCGAUGUAUUGCGCACAGUGUCGCUGUUCUCCUUGAAACGCAUUUUACAUCUCUCCAUACGCUCAUUCCGGAGAUAGGAUCAGUCCUUUGUGUGUCUGCCACAGAAUCUUUCCGUUGAAAAUUUUGAACGACUUUAACGAUUUACGCAUCGUUACGACAUUGUAAAUUAGUGCAUUUUACAUUUGGAGAUUGUCUGCAACGCUUGGUUGCCAUUUUCUCUGGUUAGAGCACUGCUAAGGCAUAGGACAAUGGAUUUUCGACUAAGAAGUCCGCUAAUGAAAAGGUACGUUGCCGCCAUCGUUUUGUCUGUUUUCUUGAGCACAGCAUCCGCUGUUACACAUUAUUCUAUUCCUGAAGAAAUGGAGGCAGGUUCCGUGGUAGCUAAUUUAGCAACGGAUCUUGGACUGGAUAUUAAGACUUUGAGCAAACGCAAGAUAAGACUGGAUACAUUGUCUAAUAAAAAAUAUUUGGAUAUUAACAAAGAAACAGGCGAGUUGGUGAUCUUGGAGAGAAUUGACAGAGAACACAUUUGCAUGUCAAAAUUAGCUACAACUUGCAUUUUAAAGCUUGAUGCAACCACGGAAGAUCCAGUAAGGAUGUUUAACAUUGAGCUGGAAAUUAUUGAUAUCAACGACAAUGCUCCACAUUUCAGAAGAGAUACAAUGCAUUUAGACAUUUCUGAAUCAACUCCUGUUGGAGAGCGAUUUUCAUUAAAUAAUGCAGUCGACCCUGACAUCGGAGUAAACUCAAUUAAAACGUAUUAUCUAAGUGACAGUGAUCAUUUUUCGAUCGAAAUCCAAACUGGUCGUGAUGGAUCGAAAUUUACAGAUUUAAUUUUGAAAAAGCCUUUAGACAGGGAGGAAGUGGGAGUUCAUAAUCUGAUACUCACUGCUGUAGAUGGCGGAGUUCCUGCUCGCUCUGGCACAGCCAACAUCAUUGUGCGCGUUCUUGACACAAAUGACAAUGCCCCUCACUUUGAUAAAGACAGCUACACAAUUAACAUACCGGAAAACUCUCCGAUUGGAAGCCUUGUGGUAAAAUUAAAUGCAACUGACGCCGAUGACGGAUCUAAUUCCGACCUCACCUACGCAUACAGUUUAUAUACAACAGAAAAAACGCAGCAAACUUUUAGUUUAAAUCCAGAUACUGGAGAAAUAAAAGUAAAAGAAAUGAUUAAUUACGAGGAUUUCAGGAUUUAUGACAUGGAAAUUGUUGCAACAGACAAAGGAGCAAAUUCCUUAUCUGGGAAUUGUAAAGUAAGAAUUUUAAUCUCGGAUAUGAAUGAUAAUCAUCCACAAAUAUCAAUUAAGUCUUUCACGAGUCCAGUCAAAGAGAAUGUAGUUGUAGGCACAGUUAUUGCUGUUAUUAGUGUGAAUGAUAAAGAUUCGGGAGAAAAUGGUCACUUUGACGUUGAUAUUUCUGAAAAAUUACCGUUUGCUUUAAAAGAAUCAUCAGAUAAUUAUUACGAGCUUAUAGUUUCAGAACCGUUGGAUCGCGAAAAGGUUGCAGAGUAUGACAUCACAUUUACAGUUACGGACAGAGGAAACCCUCCGUUGUCCGAUAACGAAACUGUAACUCUAGAACUGCUAGACGUUAACGACAACGCCCCGCAGUUUCCCCGAUCAUUUUAUACACUACAGGUUAUGGAAAAUAAUUCACCUGGAGCUUUACUGAGCGCCCUCACUGCACACGACCCAGAUCUCCAUGAAAAUCAGUAUCUCGUUUAUUUCAUAAUAGAAAAAGAAAUACUGAACACCUCCAUGUCCAUGCUCUUCUCCAUUAAUCCGGAGAACGGUAAUCUUUACGCACUAAAGACGUUUGAUUAUGAGAUAGAGAAGGAGUUUCUUUUUCAUAUUGAGGCCAGAGAUUCUGGUGUUCCUCCACUCAGCAGUAACGUAACUGUUCACAUUAUUAUCAUGGACCAGAACGACAACACUCCUGUUAUAGUGUCUCCAUGGCGCGCGCAUGGCUCAGUGGUUGAAGAAAAAAUACCGAGAUCCACCGAUAAAGGAACUCUGAUAGCGAAAGUAAUUGCUAUAGACACUGACUCAGUGCACAACUCUCGCAUUACAUACCAGUUUCUUCAGAACACUGAUGCUACAUUAUUCAGCCUGGACCAGUACAAUGGAGAGAUCCGGACCACGAGAAUGUUCAGUUACAGAGACUCACGCCACCAGCGGAUGGUGGUGAUUGCCAAGGAUAACGGAGAGCCCUCACUCUCUGCUACAGUUACCAUCAAACUGUCCACAGUGGAGACUGCACUGAAAAGCUAUGCUGACAUGACUGAAGUGCCUUUAGAAUAUGACAUCUUUUCUGAUUUGAACCUGUAUCUGGUAAUUGGACUUGGUUCAGUAUCAUUCCUGUUACUGAUCACUAUAUUGGUGACCAUCGUGCUGAAAUGUCAGAAACCAAAGGCCAGUAAAGGUGCUCCUGCCUGUAGGAACAGUGUGAUCAGUGAGAGGAACUCUACAAUCGCAGAUUCUACUCUGGUAUCCAACGAUGCUUACUGGUACAGUUUAUUUCUAGCAGAGACCAGAAAAGGAAAGCUGGUAGUUAGACAACCUGUGCCAAAGGGGUCAAGAUACUUUGUUUCCAGUAUACCGCGGAGCACAGGACUGACUGAGACUAGUGACUCAGCUGCAUCCACUUUACAGUACUCAAAAUGAGAGAUGUCCCUUCUCAUGCUGAAGGUAUGCAGCCCUGCCAUCUUCUUUCUGGAGCACCUCAACUGCCUCUACCACCACCAGUAGCAGUUCCUCAUGAGCCUUCAUUCCAUGUCCUGUUGCUCAAGUGAUGCUGAGAAGAACCCGAUCUACAAAAAUCAAGCGUCUCAUUCCUGUACACCUGUUUGCUGAUUUAGAACCUGUGUCUCUGUUCAGAUUUUUUCUUAAUACACCAAUUGUACAUUGUCUUUGCAUUUUGUCAGUAAUAAUUGUGCAAAUUUAACGCACCUGAUUGGAAAUGACUUCAGUUCUGGUUGUGACUAAUCGAUGUUCUUACCUAAUAGAGGAUUUUCCCACUCCCACUCAGAACAGUGUUUACGACCGGGCUCCAUGCAUGGAUCUGCAUGGCUAUAUCUAUGGACAUUUGUUUACUUUAUAUAAACUUUUAGACUUUUCACUGUCUGACACAUCUAAAUUUUCAAGUGAGCUUGGUGAAAGCCUAAAAUGAACAUAAAAUGAAGAACAACACAAAAAAGCACAAAGAAGUGUCAUUAAGCUGAUAGGACCCUGAAAUUGUGCAUGUGGUGAUAGCCUUGAAUGGUCCAUGUUCAACUUUUCCCUAAUGGAUGUCAAAUCAUUACAUUUAUGUUUCCACUAUGUGUUAUGCCAUAUAUGUAUUGCUGGCUUGGCAAAUUAAAAUUGUGAUAAACAAAUUACACAUGUUCCAUUUAAAUAAUUUGUAUUGCAUUACCAAAAAUAUAUUUCUUCACUGUUUUUAAGUUGCUUUACAGUUGAAUUGUAACCCAUCUUUGACCUUUGUUCAUAAAGUAUCCCAGUCCAAAUGGGUUCAUUCUGAUUAUGGUUUUCAUUUUACAUGAAUUAACUUUUAUUAAACAAAAUAAACAUGUACCAUAUCAAUUUCAUAUGACAUUAAUUUUAGUCGUAUAAAUCUUGAACAUGUUUACUGUAAAUAAGCACAUAUUAGACUGGAUACAGUAGAAAGGCAUAUAGCUUGCAUUAUAUGAACAUUUAACAUUUAAAAUGUCUUCAUACUAUUGUGUAGACUUUACUUCAAUCUUAAAUUACUAUAAAAUAAGACAAAACAACAAGGUUGUGAUGGUGUCUUGUUCCAGUUUAGGGUGUUUUAUUUGUGUUAUGGCAAUUGUUAUGAUUUUACUAAAAAUGUACUGUACUUUCUUAUUGAAAUUUUAUCAUUUGUUUUAGAUGUUCAAAACUGAUUUAGCGUUAUUUUGUUUUAUAAACUAAAAAAGUGUCUUUUUGUUUGCAAAGUGUUAUGCUGGUGGUGCAUUAUUUAGAUGGUUGUGUUAACCUAUAGUAUGAACUGCAUCAAUUUUGUACUCUGCAGUUGUUCUAAAUGCUGAGAAAAUGGCUUAUUAUUUGUGUAUCACAAUCAGAAACGUCUUGUUAAAAUAUAUGCAGGCUUCUGAUGACAUUCCCAGGCAGGACAUAAACACCAAGAGGUUAUAGGCCAGUAUGUUGCAUGGCACACUAACAUAUGAAUUAAUAGAUAGAAAACCAUAAGAGGGUUUCAAUUGAUUUGUCGUAUGAGCUAGUAAUUUAUGUAUACUGCUUGCUACAAAAGCAGCAUACUCUAAGAGUGAACAGAUUCACCCUUUCUUGCACCUCUUUUCCACUGCAACACUGUUUAUAAGUUGCCAUCAAAUAUUACUUGUGCACAAACAGUCUCAUUUCAAACUAAACAUGUUCUGCCUGAAAGAAAUUUCAUCAGAAUCCUUCUAACCUUCUAAACUUCAACUUUAUGUCUCUGUGUACAUCAUGAUAUACAUAAUACACAUGUGGUCUGUACAUUUUUAUGAAAAGGUAGAAAUAUAUAUAUAAAAAAAAAAGUAUUCAGUGUGCUGAUAUAGGGAUGCUUUUUUAAAAAAAAUAUGCCUAAUUACAGCUAAUGUAAUGCAAGCAGUACAGCUAAAUGGAAUUAACCUGUAUAUCCUGUAUGUAGUUUAAAUCAGAACAUAGGCAUUUGAUUUUAACUGUCUGGAUUUUAAUGGUAUUGUGUUACAAUAAAGUAAGUAAAUGACAGUAAUGAUACUGAUAAAAAUCAUUAUGUCUGACAAAAAGAAAACCGUUCUGUAUUCUGCUGCAUGAUACAAUGCUUUGUUUUUUGUAUGUGUACAUAUGGGGUGUAUAACUAAAAUGGUUAAUCUUUAAAAAUAGCAGUGAGCUGACUUACCACCUUUUACCUUAUUUUAAUUAUUUGUAUUUUUAUUAUACCUUUCAGUUUUUGCACAUUUAACUCAUAAGCUUGGUUUAUAUGAACAUUUAGAGUUGUGCUACUAAUUGUAUUGCAUACCUCUCUCUUCUUGUGAUUGCAAAAAUGUGAUUAAUAUCCUUCAAAGGAUGUUGUUAUCCUCUCUACAUCACCAUUGACUUAUGUAAUAAAAUGGAAGGAUUUCAAUGCAAAGGAA